UACUGAGCUGCCCCGAGGCCCUGUAUUGCCCCGCUCGGGGCAGCUCAGUACAGGGUGCGUCGGGGCGGGAGUGAGCGGGAGCCAGGAGGCCUCGUGGCCCGGCCGGUGCUACCCAGGCUGCCGCUGGUCAGACCCCAGGCCCGCCCUGGCGCCACCGAGAGCAGCCCCUGGCUUUGCACGCUCGGCAGAAAGCAGGGCCUCUGCCUCCGAGCCACCGAGGUGCUGACUCUGCGCUUCCUGAUAUAUCUCAGCACUUGGGCAAAAAGAGGACUGGCGGAUCCAGUUACAGGAUAAAAUUAGACCUGACUCCUCAGCAGCUUAAGGAGGUCACCGCGUUAACCCUGGCACUGCCAAGCGGUCCGCCGGGCUGCUGGUUUCGAUGGUCCUAGAAAUAAUCGCAAGACGCAGAGAGGGAUUUCAAAGGGCAGAGAGGGGAGAGAAAAGGGACACUGUCCUGCCCUGUUUUCUUACGGCCGCAGCCGCAGCUUUGCUUGGGAGCGUGUCGAGCUGGGUUUCUGCUGACGUCCCGGGACGGGAGGGGGCACCCCACAAGGCCAGCUGUGGGGGAAGGAGGGAACGUGGGAUCUUGUUGGCGUGCUGUAGGUGAUCUGCAGAGUGGCUGAAGCCCCCGCAGGUGACUGGCGACCAGGCCACGGCGCUGGGCCGUCUGCCAGUGAAGGCAGGGGGAGCAUGUGGUUGGGAGGGAGCGGCAAGGGGCAGGCGAGCACUGUCCCCUCCCGGCCAGGGCAGAGGCUGCAGAGGCGAGUGAGGGCUGCAGCCUCUCGGGGCCCGUUUACCCCACCCCCUCGCAAUCAUGUGUAGUGGAUCCUCGUUGCUAAACUUCAUUUGUGACCCCAAAGCUAGCAAUCACCAGGCUCCCGCCGUCCUUCACAGACACAAACAGGCCCGGCGUGCACAUGCCCGGCUGGGUUUGCACAAGGUGGUGACAGUCUGCCUCCUAGCGCCAGCUCUGAGACUGUAAGUAGGUGUUGUGUGGUCUGUUUAGGGUGAAACUUUCUGCAUUUCUGUGCUCCCAGUUGGCGUCUUGUUGGUUGUGUAAAGUGGCCGCGAGGGGGGCUGCGGUGCUGUCGCGAGUUGCUGAGGCAGGAAGGCUGCGCCUUGGGCGGGCGUAGGCGUGUGAGGCCAGCUUGGUUCAGGGACGCGUUGUGUCCGCGGUGGAGAGGUUGGCGUUAAUGAAUCAAGCAGAUAUAUUAAAUAAUGUGUCUUCGACACACUGACUGGCCACACUAGAAAAAAACUUUCCCUGGGGCCAUGGUGUUUUCUUAAAACAAAACGAUCCUUUCUGAUUAGUUUUUUUUUAGUGUCUGCGUGUGAGUCAUAUACGACACAAUUCACGUUUUUAGGAUUAAGCUGUCAAUGUUAAUGGUAAGAAUAAGAACAUCAUCAACAAGUAAGAUUUUCACGAGCCAGCUGCAGGGUUUCACUUCACAAGGCCCCAGACUCAAAAGCAGCGUGAGUUAAAUACAACUCGCACGGCAGUUAAGUGUGUCAAACGGGGACACACAUAAAGCAAAGUUAUGUAUUCAUCGGUUGAUAAAAAACACUGUGACCAGAGGCUCAAAGGAGUCUGAGGAGCAGCUGCUGCACAUUCACUAAUUCAGUGUUCACGGUGACGUUCUAGAACAUAACCUCAAAUAAUGAGACUCGACUGUGUGUUCCGAGAGUGAGAGUGAGGCUAGGGAGUCUAGAUUCAAGGCCUGCCUCCUCCUGUUUCCAGGGCCACACCUCGACACCCAAGCCCUGACUGCGCCACUCCGCCAUGCACACCAGGAGAGCGGCCCCAGGUGACGGAAGCAGCACACCUGUCCCUCUAGGCUGCCGGCAUGACCUCCGUGAGGGACUUCCUUCGGUCCCCGUCCGCAUGAGCGACUGACUGUACACGCAUGACCUACAGGCUUCCAUCCCGCCUCUAGUGACAACAGGGGACGCAGGACGGGCGCGGCGAGGAGGGGAGAGAGAGAGAGAAGCCAGCGGGAGCGCGUGGGGCACAAAAGCGAAUAAGGGCUUUUCUAUGGCUGGGGAUGGUUUUUGUUUUUCGGGUUUUUUUUUUUUUAAUUGUUUUGAUUUUGACUUCGUACAGGGUACCGUUUUUUCAACUUCAUCUGUCAGGAAUCUGUGUGGGCUUCCUGGGGGGGGGAAGAAAAGAGAACUAGGCAUGAAAUCAGUUGUCCACGCCUCAGUCCCCUGUCCCCACCCGCCAGCCUCCCGUCCCGCGUGGCCGUUCCGUGUGACAGCCCCUCCACUCCCCGGUGGACGCCGCUCCCAGCACACCCCGCGUGACAUUCGGGACACGCUCGCACGCACCUCUCCCCUCCCUCUGCUCGGCACACACGGAUUUUUGCCGUGACAUCGAAGCUGUGUAGAAUCUCCUAUGGAUAAACCGGAAAUUUUUUUUUUUUUUUAUGUUGUGUCUCUGCCAAUUUCAGCAUUCAUCAUCUUCCAGUGGAAAACCAUUAUUACCUUUAGGGUGCAUUCGGGGUUCCUCGUGCACUGGGGCGAGGACCCCAGGCUUGCUUUAGGGCUAGAGGGGGCCAGUGCCUCACCCGAGGGGUCUCCUCGCUCAGGCGGGCCCUGGCGGCAGCCGUCCGGGGACGCACCAGCAUGUUCAGUAGAGACGGCGAGGUUUCCUCCAUCCCCGAGCAUAUAUCAUAGUCCGUGUUCACAGUGUAACCUGUGCAGUAUCAGCCUUGUGUAUACGAGAAACAAUAAAUACUAUGCAAACCAAUA